GGGUUGUGAGGUUAAGCGACUAAGCGUACACGGUGGAUGCCCUGGCAGUCAGAGGCGAUGAAGGACGUGCUAAUCUGCGAAAAGCGCCGGCGAGGUGAUAUGAACCUUUGACCCGGCGAUGUCCGAAUGGGGAAACCCAGUGUGUUCCGACACACUAUCGUUAACUGAAUACAUAGGUUAACGAGGCGAACCGGGGGAACUGAAACAUCUAAGUACCCCGAGGAAAAGAAAUCAACCGAGAUUCCCCCAGUAGCGGCGAGCGAACGGGGAGCAGCCCAGAGUCUGAAUCAGCUUGUGUGUUAGUGGAAGCGUCUGGAAAGUCGCACGGUACAGGGUGACAGUCCCGUACACGAAAGCACACAGGUUGUGAACUCGAAGAGUAGGGCGGGACACGUGGUAUCCUGUCUGAAUAUGGGGGGACCAUCCUCCAAGGCUAAAUACUCCUGACUGACCGAUAGUGAACCAGUACCGUGAGGGAAAGGCGAAAAGAACCCCGGCGAGGGGAGUGAAAAAGAACCUGAAACCGUGUACGUACAAGCAGUGGGAGCACCUUCGUGGUGUGACUGCGUACCUUUUGUAUAAUGGGUCAGCGACUUAUAUUCUGUAGCAAGGUUAACCGUAUAGGGGAGCCGAAGGGAAACCGAGUCUUAACUGGGCGUUAAGUUGCAGGGUAUAGACCCGAAACCCGGUGAUCUAGCCAUGGGCAGGUUGAAGGUUGGGUAACACUAACUGGAGGACCGAACCGACUAAUGUUGAAAAAUUAGCGGAUGACUUGUGGCUGGGGGUGAAAGGCCAAUCAAACCGGGAGAUAGCUGGUUCUCCCCGAAAGCUAUUUAGGUAGCGCCUCGUGAACUCAUCUUCGGGGUAGAGCACUGUUUCGGCUAGGGGGCCAUCCCGGCUUACCAACCCGAUGCAAACUACGAAUACCGAAGAAUGUUAUCACGGGAGACACACGGCGGGUGCUAACGUCCGUCGUGAAGAGGGAAACAACCCAGACCGCCAGCUAAGGUCCCAAAGUCAUGGUUAAGUGGGAAACGAUGUGGGAAGGCACAGACAGCCAGGAUGUUGGCUUAGAAGCAGCCAUCAUUUAAAGAAAGCGUAAUAGCUCACUGGUCGAGUCGGCCUGCGCGGAAGAUGUAACGGGGCUAAACCAUGCACCGAAGCUGCGGCAGCGACACUAUGUGUUGUUGGGUAGGGGAGCGUUCUGUAAGCCGUUGAAGGUGUGCUGUGAGGCAUGCUGGAGGUAUCAGAAGUGCGAAUGCUGACAUAAGUAACGAUAAAGCGGGUGAAAAGCCCGCUCGCCGGAAGACCAAGGGUUCCUGUCCAACGUUAAUCGGGGCAGGGUGAGUCGACCCCUAAGGCGAGGCCGAAAGGCGUAGUCGAUGGGAAACAGGUUAAUAUUCCUGUACUUGGUGUUACUGCGAAGGGGGGACGGAGAAGGCUAUGUUAGCCGGGCGACGGUUGUCCCGGUUUAAGCAUGUAGGCGGAGGUUCCAGGUAAAUCCGGUACCUUUUAACGCUGAGGUGUGAUGACGAGGCACUACGGUGCUGAAGUAACAAAUGCCCUGCUUCCAGGAAAAGCCUCUAAGCAUCAGGUAACAUCAAAUCGUACCCCAAACCGACACAGGUGGUCAGGUAGAGAAUACCAAGGCGCUUGAGAGAACUCGGGUGAAGGAACUAGGCAAAAUGGUGCCGUAACUUCGGGAGAAGGCACGCUGAUAUGUAGGUGAAGCCCCUGCGGGUGGAGCUGAAAUCAGUCGAAGAUACCAGCUGGCUGCAACUGUUUAUUAAAAACACAGCACUGUGCAAACACGAAAGUGGACGUAUACGGUGUGACGCCUGCCCGGUGCCGGAAGGUUAAUUGAUGGGGUUAGCGGUAACGCGAAGCUCUUGAUCGAAGCCCCGGUAAACGGCGGCCGUAACUAUAACGGUCCUAAGGUAGCGAAAUUCCUUGUCGGGUAAGUUCCGACCUGCACGAAUGGCGUAAUGAUGGCCAGGCUGUCUCCACCCGAGACUCAGUGAAAUUGAACUCGCUGUGAAGAUGCAGUGUACCCGCGGCAAGACGGAAAGACCCCGUGAACCUUUACUAUAGCUUGACACUGAACACUGGUCCUUGAUGUGUAGGAUAGGUGGGAGGCUUUGAAGCGUGGACGCCAGUCUGCGUGGAGCCGUCCUUGAAAUACCACCCUUUAAUGGCUGGUGUUCUAACGUAGACCCGUAAUCCGGGUUGCGGACAGUGUCUGGUGGGUAGUUUGACUGGGGCGGUCUCCUCCCAAAGAGUAACGGAGGAGCACGAAGGUUAGCUAAUCCUGGUCGGACAUCAGGAGGUUAGUGCAAUGGCAUAAGCUAGCUUGACUGCGAGAGUGACGGCUCGAGCAGGUGCGAAAGCAGGUCAUAGUGAUCCGGUGGUUCUGAAUGGAAGGGCCAUCGCUCAACGGAUAAAAGGUACUCCGGGGAUAACAGGCUGAUACCGCCCAAGAGUUCAUAUCGACGGCGGUGUUUGGCACCUCGAUGUCGGCUCAUCACAUCCUGGGGCUGAAGUAGGUCCCAAGGGUAUGGCUGUUCGCCAUUUAAAGUGGUACGCGAGCUGGGUUUAGAACGUCGUGAGACAGUUCGGUCCCUAUCUGCCGUGGGCGCUGGAGAAUUGAGGGGGGCUGCUCCUAGUACGAGAGGACCGGAGUGGACGCAUCACUGGUGUUCGGGUUGUCAUGCCAAUGGCACUGCCCGGUAGCUAAAUGCGGAAAAGAUAAGUGCUGAAAGCAUCUAAGCACGAAACUUGCCCCGAGAUGAGUUCUCCCUGAGACUUUAAGUCUCCUGAAGGAACGUUGAAGACGACGACGUUGAUAGGUCGGGUGUGUAAGCGCAGCGAUGCGUUGAGCUAACCGAUACUAAUGAACCGUGAGGCUUAACCUUACAACGCCGAAG
rnacentral:rRNA from 1 species